rnacentral:rRNA from 1 species
ACGGGGUGCAGCAGGCGCGAGACCUCCGCAAUACACGAAAGUGUGACGGGGUUACCCAAAGUGUUCUCUUUUGAACUGUGAUAGGUGAGUAAUGUCCCCUACUAGAAAGGAGAGGGCAAGGCUGGUGCCAGCCGCCGCGGUAAAACCAGCUCUUCAAGUGGUCGGGAUAUUUAUUGGGCUUAAAGUGUCCGUAGCCGGUUUAGCAAGUUCCUGGUAAAAUCGGGUAGCUUAACUAUCUGCAUGCUAGGAAUACUGCUAUACUAGAGGGCGGGAGAGGUCUGAGGUACUACAGGGGUAGGGGUGAAAUCUUAUAAUCCUUGUAGGACCACCAGUGGCGAAGGCGUCAGACUGGAACGCGCCUGACGGUGAGGGACGAAAGCCAGGGGAGCGAACCGGAUUAGAUACCCGGGUAGUCCUGGCCGUAAACGAUGCAUACUAGGUGAUGGCAUGGCCAUGAGCCGUGUCAGUGCCGUAGGGAAACCGUUAAGUGUGCCGCCUGGGAAGUACGGUCGCAAGGCUAAAACUUAAAGGAAUUGGCGGGGGAGCACCACAAGGGGUGAAGCCUGCGGUUCAAUUGGACUCAACGCCGGGAAACUUACCAGGGGAGACAGCAGAAUGAUGGUCAGGUUGACGACCUUACCUAAC